GAUGAACGCUGGCGGCGUGCCUAAUACAUGCAAGUCGAGCGAACAGACGAGGAGCUUGCUCCUCUGACGUUAGCGGCGGACGGGUGAGUAACACGUGGAUAACCUACCUAUAAGACUGGGAUAACUUCGGGAAACCGGAGCUAAUACCGGAUAAUAUAUUGAACCGCAUGGUUCAAUAGUGAAAGACGGUUUUGCUGUCACUUAUAGAUGGAUCCGCGCCGCAUUAGCUAGUUGGUAAGGUAACGGCUUACCAAGGCAACGAUGCGUAGCCGACCUGAGAGGAUGAUCGGCCACACGGGAACUGAGACACGGUCCAGACUCCUAGGGGAGGCAGCAGUGGGGAAUAUCGGACAAGGGGCGAAAGCCUGAUGGAGCCAUCCCGCGUGGGUGAAGAAGGUCUUCGGAUUGUAAAGCUCUUUUGUUGGGAAAGAAAAGAAGUAGAUUAAUAUCGCGCUGUUGUGACGGUACCAAAAGAAAAAGCACCGGCUAACUUCGUG
rnacentral:rRNA from 1 species